GACGAACGCUGGCGGCGUGCUUAACACAUGCAAGUCGAACGGAAAGGCCCUGCUUUUGUGGGGUGCUCGAGUGGCGAACGGGUGAGUAACACGUGAGUAACCUGCCCUUGACUUUGGGAUAACUUCAGGAAACUGGGGCUAAUACCGGAUAGGAGCUCCUGCUGCAUGGUGGGGGUUGGAAAGUUUCGGCGGUUGGGGAUGGAUUCGCGGCUUAUCAGCUUGUUGGUGGGGUAGUGGCUUACCGAGGCUUUGACGGGUAGCCGGCCUGAGAGGGUGACCGGCCACAUUGGGACUGAGAUACGGCCCAGACUCCUACGGGAGGCAGCAGUGGGGAAUAUUGCACAAUGGGCGGAAGCCUGAUGCAGCAACGCCGCGUGCGGGAUGACGGCCUUCGGGUUGUAAACCGCUUUCGCCUGUGACGAAGCGUGAGUGACGGUAAUGGGUAAAGAAGCACCGGCUAACUACGUG
rnacentral:rRNA from 1 species